GGCCUUGACAUACUAAGAACUUUCCAGAGAUGGAUUGGUGCCUUCGGGAACUUAGAUACAGGUGCUGCAUGGCUGUCGUCAGCUCGUGUCGUGAGAUGUUGGGUUAAGUCCGCAACGAGCGCAACCCUUUUCCUUAUUUGCCAGCGGGUAAUGCCGGGAACUUUAAGGAUACUGCCAGUGACAAACUGGAGGAAGGCGGGGACGACGUCAAGUCAUCAUGGCCCUUACGGCCAGGGCUACACACGUGCUACAAUGGUCGGUACAAAGGGUUGCUACCUCGCGAGAGGAUGCUAAUCUCAAAAAGCCGAUCGUAGUCCGGAUCGCAGUCUGCAACUCGACUGCGUGAAGUCGGAAUCGCUAGUAAUCGCGGAUCAGGAUGCCGCGGUGAAUACGUUCCCGGGCCUUGUACACACCGCCCGUCACACCAUGGGAGUUUGUUGCACCAGAAGUAGGUAGUCUAACCGCAAGGAGGACGCUUACCACGGUGUGGCCGAUGACUGGGGUGAAGUCGUAACAAGGUAAGCGUAGAUGA
rnacentral:rRNA from 1 species